AAAAAUGGCAAAGUUCAAAUUGUAAGGUUGUGUUAGCUUACAUUUGCUUGAUGUUUUGCAUAGAUGCCCCUUGUGUGAUAUAAAACAGAAGCUUGACAGAGCAAAAAAAUGGCAUGAAAUUUUCCAAUUCUCAAUAUAUAAGCUCAAGAUUCCGCAUACAGGGAGUUCCUCUGACCAAAAGCGUAGUUCCGUGUCACUGGCCGGGCUGUUCUUCCUCGCAAAGACUGCGUGUGCUCUUAGCUGAGUGUGCGCAGGACUUGCGACGUUUACUUUGAAAAAAUUAGAGUGUUUAAAGCAGGCCAUCGCUUGAAUACAUAAGCAUGGAAUAAUGGAAUAGGACUUUGGUUCUAUUUUGUUGGUUUCUGGAACCGAAGUAAUGAUUAAGAGGGACAGUUGGGGGCAUUCGUAUUUCGUUGUCAGAGGUGAAUUCUUGGAUUUACGAAAGACGAACUACUGCGAAGCAUUUGCCAAGAUGUUUUCAUUAAUCAAGACGAAGUUAGAGGAUCGAGACGAUCAGAUACCGUCCUAGUUCUAACCAUA
rnacentral:ncRNA from 1 species